AGGUUUUUAUCCCAUUGGGUUUUUCCUGGUAAGGUUUUAACGAGGCAGUGUAGCUCAAGAGUUUAGGGUAUACUAUGAAAAUUUUUAUGGUCGCUUACUGGACAAAAGCUAGUCCUAAAUUUUUCAGGGGGAGCAUGGUUUUAAUAAAGACCUCCAUACACUGUACUCUUUUUCCUUCAUCCAGGUUUUUAUCCCACUGAGUUUUUCCUGGUAAGGUUUUAACGAGGCAGUGUCGCUCAAGAUUGACUCACAGAAGCAGUGUCAACUACGAUAUUCAGAAAGCUGAUCAACAGUAUGACUUAAAGAUAUUUUGCCAAGCAUCAGGGGGAGCGCACCAUCAAUAAAGAUCUUCAAACACCGUACUCUUUUUCCUUCGUCCGGG
rnacentral:lncRNA from 1 species